AAAAGAAACAGCGGACGCGUCUUCGAGUCGUCGCCAGUGAACGGUGUACUCUCGUUUUUCGAGAAAGGGUUUGAGUGAUAGUUCUGUUAUUGCCUGCUAAUUUCAUAACGAAAUACAAACAAAGUUAGAAACCAUACAAAACGACGAUCAGUAUGAUAAUCUUGGGUGUGAAUUUUUGCGGUGGCAGUGUAAGCAGUGCGACGGACAGUGUGAUCAAAUUCGGUGAAAAAACGGCCGAUUUUUCGUUGUCUUCUGACAGUAUAAGUGACAGUUUUUCGGGGUGGAGUAUUAUGGUGAGGAGGAGUCCUUCACUAACUGAUUGUUUGGAGGGGGAGGAUGACUUGGACGGGAGAGAUGACGUAUUGCUGGUCACCGGGCUUUCCAACAUGAAGAAAAACGCCGAAGCCAGACUAUGGGCCAAACGCCAGGCCAGGGCCGAGGCGCGCGAGAUCAGGAUGCGCGAGCUGGAGCGCAUCCAGCGCGAGCAGGAGGAGAACGCGGACCGCCAGUUCGACAUGCUGGCGGCGGCCACCACCGAACCGCCCCCUCUGCGUGGGAGACCUUCUGCGGGUGCGGGGAGCGGUAGACACAGGCCUGCCUCGCGGAGGAGCUCGGAGGAUUCGCUGGAGGACGGCGGCGGGGGAGGCGGAGGCAGUUUGAGGGAGCUGAGGCAUGAACUGAAAGAAGUAGAAGAAAAAUUCCGGAAAGCUAUGAUAGCGAAUGCCCAGCUGGACAACGACAAGACCUCUCAAACGUACCAAUUAGAACUCCUCAAAGAUAAGUUAGAAGAACUUGAAGAGGAACAUUCCCAAUUGAAAAGGGAGCACAGAGAUAAAUGUAGGGAACACGACCAACUCAAGAGGCUCUGCGCGCAGCUCAAAGACGACGUUUGCGCGUUGAAGUACGAACUGGACGAACGGGAUAGGCUAAUAGCAGAGAAAGGGCUAGUGUUGAUAAUCGGCGAACCCGGAGAAGACGGGGAACCACCCAAAAAAGCUUUGGUUCAAGCGGACAACGCUAAGUUGUUGGAGGAAGCAGGUGACGGUAGUUUAGAUGUACGAUUAGCCAAAUUCGCGAAAGAAAAGAUAGAUCUGCAAGAUCAAAUUAGUAGUUUAAAAUUAAAAAUAGAAGAGGAAAGAAAUAGACGGCGGAAGUCCAGUUCUAGCGGAUUAUUAAAUGGACCUUCAUCGGACUAUGAUCUGGACGACCUACAGAGAGAAGCCAGUAAACAAUUGGCCGACUAUAAAUUUAGGGCGCAGAAAGCGGAACAAGACGUGGCAACGUUGCAAGCCACCGUUGCCAGGUUGGAGAGUCAGGUGAUCAGGUACAAAACGGCUGCCGAAGUGUCGGAACAGUCGGAGGAGGCGUUGAAAUCUGAAAAAAGAAAGUUGCAACGAGAGGAUAGUGAAUAAUUUUUAGUCUGCUCUAUUCACAGAUGUUUUUUAAUUUUUCGAUUUUUAACGGCUAGAGAAGCUCAAAACAGGGCAGAAGAACUAGAAACGUCCAACACUCACUUGCUGAAACGACUGGACAAGUUAAAAAAUGCCAAAUCGGCACUUUUGAAAGAACUUUGACAGCCGUUGAAGCGCUGAGAUCGACAUUUAUUUAAAAAUAUUCCGUUAGAUUCCGCAAAAUAUCGUGACAAGAAUGUAUAAUUUGUACUUUAAUUUUUUUUAUAUUUUUCAUCGAAAAAAUAAACUUACUCAGAAGAAAAAACGUCUUCGCGAACAGAAGAUUAUUUUUAUUGAUAUAAUUAUUAUUAUUACAGGGAAGACUUCAAUGUGUGUUGUAAUAGAAAGUUACUAUUAGAAUUUUUUUAAUUGAGAUUUGUAUAUAAAAAACGUUUUUUUUUUUCAAAGUCACAAAACUGAAUAAAGAAAGAAGAGCAAGUAUUUUUCCAAGCGCAUUGAAAUGUAACGUCAAAUUAAGUUGUUAUGUAAUAAAUACUUUAUUAAUUACGAAUUUUUGCUCUCCUAGACUCCUAGACAUAUAAACACUGACAAGGUUUCGCUUGCCAGUGCGGUAUAUCUUUUUGAAUCGCCCUGUGUAAUGAUUACUGCAAUGCAAAGAAGUCUUCUCUGUAUUUUUGUUACCUAUUAGUCAGUACUUUAACCCUAACUAAAAUCUUUCCUUUUCUUUAUUUAUUUAUAUUCAAAGACAACCAAAUAAAGGGAGACAAAACUAUUUACGUUUUACAGCGGUCAAACAUCGUUUUCAACAAAAAGCGAUAAUGCCAAAUUUCUGCGGAUUGCGUUAGAUUUACGAUUUGUGUUUGAAAACAAAGUAUGUUAUUAUUUUUAUUAAUGGAUGUUUGGGUAUCUAUAGAAAGUUUCUUCAAGUAGAAACGGCGUACUAAAUACCGUAUGAUCGAAAAAAAACCGCGUCAGCGAUGGCUGUUGAAAUGAAGAUUUCAUAUGUGAUCAUUUUAUAUGUAAAUUUAUAUUGGAAAUGUCCUAGAUCGUCAUUUCCCAGCCAACUGGACGCCGUUGUUUUUUCGAUCAUAUGGUAUAUGUCUAGGUAAAUCAUUUUAGUUAAAAUACAUGGAUUGUACCUUUGAAAUUAUUUAUAGGAAAGUGUAACUGUGACAACGCUGCUCCAGGAAUACUGUUAUUACGGCAGCGUUGCCAUAUUUAUAUACCCAUCUCUUUUUAACUCACAUAAAAGUGUUAAAGUGUGUAUGAUCGUGAACAAAAAUUGAGUUUAA
rnacentral:misc_RNA from 1 species